rnacentral:rRNA from 1 species
GACGAACGCUGGCGGCGUGCCUAAUACAUGCAAGUUGAGCGAUGAAGAUUGGUGCUUGCACCAAUUUGAAGAGCAGCGAACGGGUGAGUAACGCGUGGGGAAUCUGCCUUUGAGCGGGGGACAACAUUUGGAAACGAAUGCUAAUACCGCAUAACAACUUUAAACAUAAGUUUUAAGUUUGAAAGAUGCAAUUGCAUCACUCAAAGAUGAUCCCGCGUUGUAUUAGCUAGUUGGUGAGGUAAAGGCUCACCAAGGCGAUGAUACAUAGCCGACCUGAGAGGGUGAUCGGCCACAUUGGGACUGAGGCACGGCCCAAACUCCUACGGGAGGCAGCAGUAGGGAAUCUUCGGCAAUGGACGAAAGUCUGACCGAGCAACGCCGCGUGAGUGAAGAAGGUUUUCGGAUCGUAAAACUCUGUUGGUAGAGAAGAACGUUGGUGAGAGUGGAAAGCUCAUCAAGUGACGGUAACUACCCAGAAAGGGACGGCUAACUACGU